rnacentral:misc_RNA from 1 species
UAAUAAAAGUGUUUAUGGCACUUUUCAAACAAAUCCAUAUCCACCUUGUGUGCAAUGUUUUUUUUUUUAUAAUUGAACACCUUUCUUUAAUUGACAAUUGUAUCUGAAGAUCAGUAUUAUUAUGAAUUAACUUAAUUCAAAAUA